rnacentral:rRNA from 1 species
CCUACGGGUGGCAGCAGUGAGGAAUAUUGGUCAAUGGGCGAGAGCCUGAACCAGCCAAGUCGCGUGGGGGAGUACUGCCCUAUGGGUUGUAAACCUCUUUUGUCGGGGAGCAAAAGCCGGACGUGUCCGGCUGUGAGAGUACCCGAAGAAAAAGCAUCGGCUAACUCCGUGCCAGCAGCCGCGGUAAUACGGAGGAUGCGAGCGUUAUCCGGAUUUAUUGGGUUUAAAGGGUGCGCAGGCGGAUUUUUAAGUCAGCGGUAAAAUCGUGGGGCUCAACCCCAUCCAGCCGUUGAAACUGGGGAUCUAGAGUGUGCGAGAGGUAUGCGGAAUGCGUGGUGUAGCGGUGAAAUGCAUAGAUAUCACGCAGAACCCCGAUUGCGAAGGCAGCAUACCGGUGCACAACUGACGCUCAGGCACGAAAGCGUGGGUAUCGAACAGGAUUAGAUACCCUAGUAGUC